rnacentral:rRNA from 1 species
CCCUUAGAUGUUCUGGGCCGCACACGCGCUACACUGGAGGAGGCAGCGUGUACUCCUGGAUCGAAAGAUUUGGGUAACCCGCGAAUCUCCUUCGUGCUAGGGAUUGAGGUUUGCAAUUAUCCUUCAUGAACGAGGAAUUCCCAGUAAGUGCAAGUCAUAAGCUUGCGCUGACUACGUCCCUGCCCUUUGUACACACCGCCCGUCGCUACUACCGAUUGAAUGAUUUAGUGAGGACUUCGGACUGGGACCGAUGCGGCUUUCGGGCUGCGUCGGUAUUCUGGAAAGAUGUCCAAACUGUAUCAUUUAGAGGAAGUAAAAGUCGUANCA